rnacentral:rRNA from 1 species
UGGGGAAUAUUGCACAAUGGGCGAAAGCCUGAUGCAGCAACGCCGCGUGAGUGAUGAAGGUCUUCGGAUUGUAAAGCUCUGUCUUUUGGGACGAUAAUGACGGUACCAAAGGAGGAAGCCACGGCUAACUACGUGCCAGCAGCCGCGGUAAUACGUAGGUGGCGAGCGUUGUCCGGAUUUACUGGGCGUAAAGGGUGCGUAGGCGGAUGUUUAAGUGAGAUGUGAAAUACCCGGGCUUAACUUGGGUGCUGCAUUUCAAACUGGAUAUCUAGAGUGCAGGAGAGGAGAAUGGAAUUCCUAGUGUAGCGGUGAAAUGCGUAGAGAUUAGGAAGAACACCAGUGGCGAAGGCGAUUCUCUGGACUGUAACUGACGCUGAGGCACGAAAGCGUGGGUAGCAAACAGGAUUAGAUACCCUGGUAGUCCACGCCGUAAACGAUGAGUACUAGGUGUAGGAGGUAUCGACCCCUUCUGUGCCGCAGUAAACACAUUAAGUACUCCGCCUGGGGAA